AUCCUUUUGUAUUUCAUAAGCAUGACGAUUGGGUUUCACGCGCAUCCGUGAGAUGUGCCUCCCUUAAUCCUUGUUAGGAUGUCAGCAUAUUACCCGUCUGACA